UGUCCCUUUAGGGCACAGAGUGGCCACUGAAUACUCCAUUCAGCUCUUGCCUCUUGGUCUGAAGUUCGUUUUGUGUUAACUGAGAUCAGAAGAAGGGGUCAAAGGGAAUUUCAGCCUGCCAGAACAAAGUACCACAAAGCUGGACGUCAAAAGGGCAAUACUCUCCAGUGCUGGAGCUCUGGGGUCACAACUUCUGGAAUAAUGCUGCAGACCCCAGACCUCUCGGGAACUACCUCCAGUCACUACAGUUAUCUGGAGAAAAUUCUGGGGGUCACUAGCAGUGGAGGUGGGAGCUCUUGAUUUCUCUAGACCAGCGGGAGCCAGGCAAGAUCAUUAAAUGCAGUGAAGCUGAGAUCCAACCAGAACUGAGAACCUGACGUCCUGCUUUCCUGUGCACGUGUCACCCUGUGUUCCCGGCCCUUCCCAGGGGCGUGGGGGAGGCCAGCGGUACAGAGAAGACAGAAACAACAGCAGACAUCACCACUGAGAGAGUAAAAUAAAAUGUGUUGCACAUACA